UUGCCAGCCGCCGCGGUAAUACGGAGGGUGCGAGCGUUAAUCGGAAUUACUGGGCGUAAAGGGCGCGUAGGCGGUCGCGCAAGUCGGGUGUGAAAGCCCCGGGCUCAACCUGGGAAUUGCAUUCGAUACUGCGUAACUAGAGUCUGGUAGAGGGAAGCGGAAUUCCGCAUGUAGCGGUGAAAUGCGUAGAUAUGCGGAGGAACACCAGUGGCGAAGGCGGCUUCCUGGACCAAGACUGACGCUGAGGCGCGAAAGCGUGGGGAGCAAACAGGAUUAGAUACCCUGGUAGUCCACGCCCUAAACGAUGAGGACUAGACGUUGGGGGGGAUAAAACCCUUUAGUGUCGCAGCUAACGCGUGAAGUCCUCCGCCUGGGGAGUACGGCCGCAAGGUUGAAACUCAAAUGAAUUGACGG
rnacentral:rRNA from 1 species